rnacentral:rRNA from 1 species
AGAGUUUGAUCCUGGCUCAGGAUGAACGCUAGCGGCAGGCUUAACACAUGCAAGUCGAGGGGCAGCGGGAUGUAGCAAUACAUUGCCGGCGACCGGCGGAUGGGUGCGUAACGCGUAUGCAACCUACCUUAUACAGGGGAAUAACCUUUCGAAAGGGAGACUAACACCCCAUGGUAUUGAUUUAAGGCAUCUUAGAUUAAUUAAAUAUUUAUAGGUAUAAGAUGGGCAUGCGUAUGAUUAGCUAGUUGGUAAGGUAACGGCUUACCAAGGCGACGAUCAUUAGGGGUUCUGAGAGGAAGGUCCCCCACACUGGUACUGAGACACGGACCAGGCUCCUACGGGAGGCAGCAGUGAGGAAUAUUGGUCAAUGGGCGCAAGCCUGAACCAGCCAUGCCGCGUGCCAGGAAGACGGCCUUAUGGGUUGUAAACUGCUUUUACAUAAGACUAACCGUAUAUUUGCGAAUAUACCUGAAUGUAUUAUGAGAAUAAGGAUCGGCUAACUCCGUGCCAGCCGCCGC